rnacentral:rRNA from 1 species
UACCAGCACCCCGAGUGGUCGGGACGAUUAUUGGGCCUAAAGCAUCCGUAGCCGGUUCUACAAGUCUUCCGUUAAAUCCAGCUGCUUAACAGAUGGGCUGCGGAGGAUACUAUAAGACUAGGAGGCAGGAGAGGCAAGCGGUACUCAGUGGGUAGGGGUAAAAUCCGUUGAUCCAUUGAAGACCACCAGUGGCGAAGGCGGCUUGCCAGAAUGCGCUCGACGGUGAGGGAUGAAAGCUGGGGGGAGCAAACCGG